rnacentral:rRNA from 1 species
AUUGAACGCUGGCGGCAGGCUUAACACAUGCAAGUCGAACGAGUGGCGGACGGGUGAGUAAUGCUUGGGAAUCUAGCUUAUGGAGGGGGAUAACUACGGGAAACUGUAGCUAAUACCGCAUACCAUCGAAUGUGCCCAGAUGGGUUUAGCUAGUAGGUGGGGUAACGGCUCACCUAGGCGGCGAUCCCUAGCUGGUCUUAGAGGAUGACCGGCCACACUGGAUCGGAGCAACGGCCCGGACUCCUACGGUAGGCAGCGGUGGGGAAUAUUGCACAAUGGGCGCAAGCCUGAUGCAGCCAUGCCGCGUGUAUGAAGAAGGCCUUGGGGUUGUAAAGUACUUUCAGCGAGGAGGCGUUACUCGCAGAAGAAGCACCGGCUAACUCCGUGCCAGCCACCGCGGUAAUUC